CAAGAAACAUUGAAAGCAAUAAGGAAAAAACACAAAUGUUACACACGGUAUAUGGAAACAAAACUGAAGUAGUGAAAAAUAUAGAGAAUUUUGUAAAUCCAGAAACAAGGUCAAGAGCCUUACCAGAAUUCUGAAAAGCAGUCAAGAUGAAGGAGAAGGAAAUGAUUACCAUGCAAAUAAAAAAUAAUCCCAAAAAAUUCUGGCACUAUGUAAAAAUCAAAAACUAAAACUAGAACCGCAAUAUCCAAUCUCGUCAUGAGUACACAAGAUGGUAAUGACGUA
rnacentral:lncRNA from 1 species